AUUGAACGCUGGCGGCAGGCCUAACACAUGCAAGUCGAACGAGUGGCGGACGGGUGAGUAAUGUCUGGGAAAAUGCCUGAUGGAGGGGGACCACUACUGGGAACGGUAGCUAAUUACGCAUACCAUCGGAUGUGCCCAGAUGGGAUUAGCUAGUAGGUGGGGGAAAGGCUCACAUAGGCGACGAUCCCUAGCUGGUCUGAGAGUAUGACCAGCCACACUGGAACGAAGACACGGUCCAGUCUCCUACGUGAGGCAGCAGUGGGGAAUAUUGCACAAUGGGCGCAAGCCUGAUGCAGCCAGGCCGCGUGUGGGAAGAAGGCCUUCGGGUUGUAAAGUACUUUCAGCGGGGAGGCGUUACCCGCAGAAGAAGCACCGGCUAACUCCGUGCCAGCAGCCGCGGUAAUUC
rnacentral:rRNA from 1 species